UGGGGAAUAUUGGGCAAUGGGGGGAACCCUGACCCAGCAACGCCGCGUGAAGGAAGAAGGUUUUCGGAUUGUAAACUUCUGUCCUUGGUGAAGAGGAAGAGACGGUAGCCAAGGAGGAAGCCCCGGCUAACUACGUGCCAGCAGCCGCGGUAAUACGUAGGGGGCGAGCGUUGUCCGGAAUUACUGGGUGUAAAGGGCGUGUAGGCGGGAAAGUAAGUCAGAUGUGAAAUACCGGGGCUUAACUCCGGGGCUGCAUCUGAAACUGUUUUUCUUGAGUGUCGGAGAGGAAAGCGGAAUUCCUAGUGUAGCGGUGAAAUGCGUAGAUAUUAGGAGGAACACCAGUGGCGAAGGCGGGUAACUGGACUGCAACUGACGCUGAGGCGCGAAAGUGUGGGGAGCAAACAGG
rnacentral:rRNA from 1 species